rnacentral:rRNA from 1 species
AUGCUAGAGGACAUCAAGAAGAUCAAAGAGUUCAGCCAUUGCAUUGCUAAAGCAAAGAGAACAACCAAAUUUAUUUAUUCUCAUGGAAAGGUUUUUGAUUUAAUGAGAAGCCUGAAUGGUAAGCAAUAAAUUGUGAGGCCUGGAGCAACUCGUUUUGCUACGUCAUUCCUUACUUUGGCCAGCAUGUGGAAGCAAAGGCAAACAUUGAAAACUCUCUUUGUUAGCACACAAUGGUAUGCAAACAAAUUAAAGGACAAUGAAGGAGGGAAGGUCGUUGAAGCAACUGUGAUCUCCGUGCCAUUUUGGCAAUCGGUGGAGUGUUGCAUGAGAGCUUCACAACCCCUUCUUAGGGCUUUGAGGAUCGCUGAUGGUGAUGAGACUGCGGCUAUGGCAGAAAUGUGGGCAGCCACAAAUGUUGCAAAGACACACAUAAAGGAAGCUUUGACACAUAAGCCAAACCUCCUAGGUCAACUGGUAGCUAUUGUUGAUAAGAGAUGGGAUAAUUAGAUGGAACAAAAGCUACGUGGGGCUACUUUGUUCUUGAACCCAAAUAAAUUGUUUGUCAUUAAGGAGUCCAACAAAAGACAAGCUUCCCGUCUUCGUUCAAUGUUCAAUUAUGUGCUAUGGAAGAUGGUGCCCAAUGAUGAGCAACAAAGAACUAUAAGUAGGGAAGUCAACGACUAUGAGCUGCCGGAAGGUGAAUGUUUGUUGAAGCCAUUGUCAAUUAAAGACCGUCACAAAAAAGCCCUCAUUCUUUGGUGGAAUGCUUAUGGUGGCCUUGCUUUUGACCUCCAAACUCUUGCAAAGCGAAUCAUUAGUCUAUGUUGUUCAGCAUCCGACUGCGAGCACAAUUGGAGAGUAUUUGCUCAUAUCCACACCAAAGGGACAAACCGUCUAGAGUACAAGAGAUUGAAUAAGCUAUCAUAUGUCUUGUACAACCGGAUAAUGGAAGCCAGGUUUCAGAAUCUGCGUGAGCAAGGCUCUAAGACAACGAAAUCUAAUCCACUUGUGCUAGAAGAAUUUUAAUGGGAUAAUGAAUGGGUUGAUAUCAAUGCUGAAAUGGGUGAAAUACCACUACUUUGGCCUCAAGUUGAUGAAGCCAUGGGUCUGUCGACUUCUCUAGCAGGUCGCAACUAUCCUAGGAGAGCUCGUGGUGAUCCUGGCGAACCUAUUGCAGGACCCAUAGGCCCUUAUAUCACCUACACUUGGAACCACGCAAGAACAAGGCUGGUUGUGCAUGAUGAAGAGUUGAGAGCUGAAUUAGAAGCGGCAGAAUAUGACAAAGACAAGAGAGCAACGAUGAAGACAAUGAUGAAGACACCGGUUUUCAACUUGAAGACAUGGAUCUUGAGGCAAUUCAUGUUUUGGUGUUAA